rnacentral:rRNA from 1 species
AACGAACGCUGGCGGCAGGCUUAACACAUGCAAGUCGAGCGCCCCGCCAGGGGACUGGCAGACGGGUGAGUAACGCGUGGGAACGUACUCUUAUCUUCGGGAUAGCCCCGGGAAACUGGAAUUAAUACCGAAUGCGCUCUCUAGGGGCAAGAUGUAUCGGAUAAGGCUUGGCCUGCGGUGGAUUAGCUAGUUGGCGGGGUAAACGCCUACCAAGGCGACGAAUCAUAGCUGGGCUGAGAGGACGGUCAGCCACAUUGGGACUGAGACACGGCCCAAACUCCUACGGAAGGCAGGAGGGGGGAAUAUUGGACGCCGGGCGCGAGCCUGAUCCAUCCGUGCCGCGUAGGUGAUGAAGGCGUUAGGGUUGUGAAGCUCUUUCACCGGAGAAGAUAAUGACGGUAUCCGAAGAAGAAGCCCCGGCUAACUUCGUG